rnacentral:rRNA from 1 species
UACGUAGGGUCCGAGCGUUGUCCGGAAUUACUGGGCGUAAAGAGCUUGUAGGCGGUUCGUCGCGUCGUUUGUGAAAACUUAGGGCUCAACCUUAAGCUUGCAGGCGAUACGGGCGGACUAGAGUACUUCAGGGGAGACUGGAAUUCCUGGUGUAGCGGUGAAAUGCGCAGAUAUCAGGAGGAACACCGGUGGCGAAGGCGAGUCCCUGGAAAACACCUGACACUGAGGCACGAAAGCGUGGGGAGCAAACAGG